GCGAAGAACCACCCGACGCGCAGCGGAGUGCAUUCAGAUCGUUUAAUGCACAGCUAGCUGUUGAUUAUCUCGUUUAUGCCAUGGUCAUUUGCCAGCAUUCACAUAUUUAAGAUGUUAAUAAUAUUUGUGCUGCAAUAUUUGACCGGAACGAUAAAAAUGACGGUUAUUUUCGUCUGUAUUACUAUUCAUUUACAUUUACAUUUAUGCAUUUGGCAGACGCUUUUAUCCAAAGCGACUUACAUUGCAUUCAAGUUACAGUUUUUACAUUUUAUCAGCUCUUGCUUUCCCUGGGAAUCGAACCCAUGAUCUUGGCGUUGCUAGCGCCAUGCUCUACUAUUUGAGCUACAGGAAAGCUAUUCAACUGUAAUUGUAUGUUACUAUGGUUACCAAUGUUUAUAGGAAACGCAUUAAUAUAGAACGUGAUUAAACUGACCUGGAACUACCUGCAGUUCAACGAAUUUAAUCAACACCUGCCAGCCAAUCAGAAUCCAGUAUUCAGACAGACCAUGGCAUAAAGUGGUAUGUUCUUAUUUUUACCAGCUUCUGCGAGCGUGUAUGGCGUCUGGCUUCAGUACCUCACUGUGACUUCAGAUAAGAACAAAGAUUAAAUUGUAAGAAGAGCUGCUUGUAAGAGCAUACAGUACAACUGAAACUGCUGAGGCUGGGAAGGUUUUUGACUAUAUUUCCGACCAGAUCAGCUGCUAUAGAAGACAAAAUGAAAUCUGAGUGCAGAGACAUGCAAAGGAAUACUGCAAGACACUACUGACUAGGCUGUGCCCAGGUCUCCGGAACCUGCGACGACGCUCAGCUCCAUCGGCCCUUAGUCUGCGGCUUCGGAUCCACCAGCUCUGUCUCCAUCGGUCGGCCCCCAGAUGUCGGCAGCCACACCAUCUACAUCUUGGCUCCUCUCUCCCUCGACUCCGCCGUGUGUUGUCAGCACUGGGAUGCUCUGGGUCUGUGCCAUGUGCCAAACACCAUCUAAGCCGCCAGGGCAUCAUCGUCAUCCUCCCAUCACCAUCUCCUCGUCCACCUCCAAAACCCCUCCAUCCCUCCUCAUUCUGUUGCUUGAACUUUAUCAUCUUCAGUCUUCUUUGCACACA